GGAAGUGAAGAGCAAAGAAAUGUAGGAGUGCAGAUACACCGUUCCUUGAAGGUGACGUCACAGGUAGAUAGGGUGGUCAAAAAGGCCUUUGGAACAUUGGCCUU